AAAUUUUUAAAAAAUUUUGGCUUUAUGUAUAAAGUGGCACACUAAAUUAAGAUAAAGAUAAGAAUAAGAAAAAAAUAACUUUUUUGACAAAUAAAUUAAGCGUUUGCCAAAAGUACCAGUUGGUUAACAUAGUGUAGUUAAUCUCAAUCAAUAAAAUUAAAGUGACGAAAUGAGCUUCCCUCUGAAUAAACUUCAACGUUUUAAGGGAAACAUGAGAAAAGCGAUAAGAAAUCAAUUGAACUGAAAGCAGCGGACAGCCAGCACAGAAUAAGCUAAGAACUAUAAACCGAGGCUAAAGAAGCGGAGCGGGUUAUGACGAAUGCGCGAUGAACCAUUGCAAGGCAGUCACGGUCUUAACGAAAUGCGUGAAGACAAGCAAUGGAAGUAUGUAUUUACUCAAUUACCAGAUUAUCGGAUUCUAGUGAAAGAAGUCAAUGGAUAUAAGGAUUAUCACGUAUUUCAAAGGAACAUGCAAAGUUAUCAACUAAUUAGUCAAUCAGACUUGAUUAUUCCGACCUAAGUGGUCUUUAGAUUGAAGACUCAAGCUCACCUACAAUUUUUCAAAACUUUCUUAACUUUUCAUGACAAGUUCUGUCCGUAAUGUAUUCGUACCUUUAAACGGAUAAUUUUUAGUAGGAAAUAUGGUUCAGAGCGCUUAUUAAUCGCUAUAUAUCUAUUAGUUACGUAAUAUAAGUUAUGUAAUAUAAAUAACUGUAUGCUUAUUUUAGUGAUGUUAUCCCAAUAUUUGGACAAUAAACGCGAGCUUAAUGAGUUUUAAGCAUUCUGAUAAAUAAAA